rnacentral:rRNA from 1 species
AUACGGAGGGUGCGAGCGUUAAUCGGAAUUACUGGGCGUAAAGCGUGCGUAGGCGGUUUGCUAAGUCAGAUGUGAAAGCCCCGGGCUUAACCUGGGAACUGCAUUUGAUACUGGCAGACUAGAGUAUGAUAGAGGGGGGUAGAAUUCCUGGUGUAGCGGUGAAAUGCGUAGAUAUCUGGAGGAAUACCAGUGGCGAAGGCGGCCCCCUGGAUCAAUACUGACGCUGAGGUACGAAAGCGUGGGGAGCGAACAGGAUUAGAUACCCGAGUAGUCC